rnacentral:rRNA from 1 species
AGGGUUUGAUCAUGGCUCAGGACGAACGCUGGCGGCGUGCCUAACACAUGCAAGUCGAACGGAGUGAAGCCCUUCGGGACUUUACUUAGUGGCGAACGGGUGAGUAACGCGUGAGGAACCUGCCUUUCAGUGGGGGACAACAGUUGGAAACGACUGCUAAUACCGCAUGAUACUUUUUGGAGGCAUCUCUGAAAAGUCAAAGAUUUAUUGCUGAAAGAUGGUCUCGCGUCUGAUUAGCUAGUUGGCGGGGUAACGGCCCACCAAGGCGACGAUCAGUAGCCGGUCUGAGAGGAUGAACGGCCACAUUGGGACUGAGAUACGGCCCAG